GCAGUUCCGGCGAGGGGGGAGCCUCAGCAGGAUUGCUG
rnacentral:sRNA from 1 species